CCUACACACGACAUCUCACCUCAGCCCUGCCCCUUGAGUGGAAACCUCAGAGUUAUUAAUAGGAAUGAGCUCCCUGAAUGCGGGUAACGCACACCCUGGCUAGUUACCGGUUUGGGAUAUAGAAUGGCCAUAUAAGGAUUAAUCGGUGUUUCCAUUAUAGGGUUCCACUUUCUUGGCUUUUCUUGUCGGGUGUCCCCCUUGCCUUCCCCCUUCUUUCCGGCCCUCGCCAGCGCGAGGGAUUGUGGGCCAGCCCCCCCAACGCCGCGGGGAGCACUGGGCGCCCAGUCCUCGCACACACCCACGCUUUCUCCGCGAGUCCAGUGUGAAGCCUGGUGGUUUUCGAGACCGUUGGUUCAGCGCCUACCUGGCUUAAGAAGUAGCUGGAAAAGAUGUCUAGGGCUGUUCAUCUUCCAGUCCCCUGUCCUGUUCAACUUGGUUCCUUAAGAAAUGAUUCCUUGGAAGCUCAGCUUCAUGAGUAUGUCAAACAAGGGAACUAUGUGAAAGUGAAGAAGAUUCUUAAGAAAGGAAUUUAUGUUGAUGCAGUUAACUCCCUGGGCCAGACUGCACUUUUUGUUGCGGCAUUACUAGGCCUUACGAAGGUAGUUGAUGUUCUGGUGGAUUAUGGAUCAGAUCCAAAUCACCGCUGCUUUGAUGGGAGCACCCCUGUUCAUGCAGCAGCAUUUUCAGGGAAUCAGUGGAUCCUCAGUAAACUGCUGGAUGCAGGGGGUGAUCUUCGACUCCACGACGAGAAGGGUCAAAAUCCACAGACCUGGGCCCUGACAGCAGGGAAGGAGCGCAGCACCGUGAUGGUGGAGUUCAUGCAGCGCUGUGCCUCGCACAUGCAGGCCAUCAUACAGGGCUUCUCCUAUGACCUCCUAAAGAAGAUUGACUCCCCUCAGCGGCUCAUCAGUGGCCCACCCCGGCUUGGUGGCCUCAUACAGGGAAACCCUAAUGGCUCUCCUAACCGACUGCUUAAAGCUGGAGUCAUUUCUGCACAAAAUAUCUACAGCUUUGGCUUUGGGAAGUUUUAUCUCACAGGGGGAGCACAGCUGGCCUACCUGGGAUCUCUUCCAGUAAUUGGAGAAAAGGAAGUGAUUCAAGCUGAUGAUGAGCCUACCUUCUCUUUCUUCAGUGGCCCCUACAUGGUCAUGACCAAUCUGGUGUGGAAUGGGAGCAGGGUCACAGUGAAGGAGCUGAAUCUCCCCACCCAUCCUCACUGCAGCAGGGUUCGGCUGGCUGACUUGUUAAUUGCAGAGCAGGAACACAGCAGUAAGCUGCGGCACCCGCACCUGCUACAGCUGAUGGCUGUGUGCCUGUCCCGAGACCUAGAGAAGACCCGCCUUGUUUAUGAGCGCAUCACUGUCGGCACACUGUUUGGUGUCCUCCACGAACGGCGGUCCCAGUUUCCCGUGCUCCACAUGGAGGUGAUUGUGCAUCUGCUGCUCCAGAUCUCUGACGCCCUGAGAUACUUGCAUUCCCGGGGGUUUAUCCACCGCUCCCUCAGCUCCUACGCCAUCCACAUUGUCUCUGCUGGGGAAGCAAGGCUGACCAACCUGGAGUACAUGAUGGAAAGCCAGGAUGGACAUGUACACAGGGACCUGACUCGAGUGCCCCUCCCAACCCAGCUGUACAACUGGGCUGCCCCAGAGGUGAUCUUAGAGAAGGCAGCCACAGUGAAGUCGGACAUCUACAGCUUUUCGAUGAUCAUACAGGAGAUUUUAACAGAUAACAUACCCUGGAAUGGCUUAGAUGGCUCAGUUAUUAAAGAAGCCAUAGUCUUGGGAAAUUAUUUAGAAGCUGAUGUAAGGCUUCCAAAACCUUAUUAUGAUAUUGUUAAGUCAGGCAUCCAGGUCAAGCAGAAAGACCGAACUAUGAACCUUCAAGAUAUCCGGUACAUUUUGAAGAACGACUUAAAGGAUUUUCUCGGAGCCCAGAGAACUCAGCCAACUGAGAGCCCCAAGAUGCAGAGAUAUGAACUCCAUCCUGAUGUCAAUGUUUGUCUAGGACUGAUGUCAGAACAUUUGAAAGAGACCCCUAACCUGGAAAUAAAAGAGCUAAAGGAAACAGCAGGCAGUCGGCUUCAUUCACCCACUGAGAAAGCAACACCAGAUCCUCAGGUCCUAGAUCCAGGUCUGAUGGCCAAGGAAACUCAGAACCGAGAUGCUGCUUCUCCUGCCUGCUCUGUGAUGGAAGAGGACGCCAGGGGGCCCAGCCCAGGUCAGGCUAGCCUCUGCAGCUUUGAAAUCAAUGAAAUCUACUCAGGCUGCCUGGACAGGGGAGAUAACACGAAGGAGGAGCCCCCAGGAGCUGAUUCAUCUGUUGUGGGAGCUGGACCAAGCCAAGCAGAUGAACUAAAGUCCAUGGAAGAAGAGUUGGAAAAGAUGGAGAGAGAAGCAUGCUGUUUUUAUGAUGAGGACGAGAGCUCUUCAGAAGCUGACACAGAGCUCUCCUUUGAGGACUGGGAUUGGCAAAAUGGUUCUCUUAGUUCACCCAGCCUACCUGAGCUAGCCAGAGAAGCCAAGGGCAAUGGGAGCAAUAGGCGCAUGACCGAGGAGUACAUCAGUAAGUGUGUGCUGAAUCUGAAGAUUUCACAGACAUUAAUGUACCAGAAUGCCGAUUUGCUGAGGAAUACUGAACAGAGAAUUGAUAAACUUGAGAUGAUACAAAAGGAGCAGGAGGAGUACAGGUCUUUGUGGGCUUCUUCAAGAGAGUUUACAAACAUUUAUGACUCACCUUCAGCCUUGGGCCCCCCAGCUUCCACCUAUGUUCCACCUGUCAUGCAGCUGCCGAGAGGCCAGCAGCUGGACACCAGUGGCAAUUGCCAAACCCUGACAAGAUCUUCCAUGGUGAGAGACUUUCAAGGAGGACAUUUUGGCAAAAGGUCCAGGAAAAGAAGUGACUGUGGCUGGAAACCUGUCAUCCGAGUCUCUGAAGAAAGCACUGGGGAUCAGUCAGAGAAGAGCCAUCAGCUGCCAACUUUUAGUGGACCUGGAAAACAGGGCACAAGUGAACAAUCGCAGCCCUCUCAAGGAGCCAAGCACAGUUUGGAAAGAAACAGGAGCCCAAAUACCAGCAGGAUCAGUGUGGAAUCUGUGUCUUCUGAAAUCUGUCAUACAAAGUUAAGAAAUAACGAAGAUGAUGGAGAGGUACACUUAAAAUGGAAAUUGGAGGUGAAAGAAAUGGCAGAGAGAGCAGCCACCGGGCAGCUGGCAGUACCACCAUGGCAUCCUCAGAGUAGUGCGACUUUAGAGGAUGAAGCUAAAGAUGAGCCUGAUUCCCUGCUGCAGCCCCCGCUUGGGGACCCUGAGAAAGUGGGUUGGCAGUGCACUGUAGAGUAUCCCAGGGAAAAUGAUGAGUCAAGAGAAAAUGGCAAAUGUAACAAAAUGGGUAACAGUGACUGUGACAGUGACCAGUAUGGCAAACAGCCUGGACCUCAAAGCUUCAACAGUAUCAGGCACCUGUCUCCCAGCAAAAAUGUGUAUCCAGAGCAUAGUGAAGUCUUUCAAGCAAGUUCUGACGCAUCUGUGGUCAUUGAGAAAUCUUACAGUGAUCAGUCCAUGCAAUCAACUUGUUCACCAGAGUCUUCUGAGGAUGUAACAGAUGAAUUUUUAACUCCAGACUAUGAAUAUUUUCAUUCUUCAACUGCUCAAGAAAACUUAGCUCUAGAGACUUCAAGUCCUAUAGAAGAAGUCUUUGAAGGAAUACGAGAUGCAUUUGCCCAACCUCGAGGUUCUGGUGAAGAAAAGUUCCAAAUGAGAAAAAGCCUUGGAAGGAAUGCUGAGAUUUUGACCAGGUCUCAAUUCCAACCUAUACGAAUUACUGAAGGUGAACAAGAGGAGACAUUAAAGGAAUCACCAAAGGAGCUGAAAGAGAAAGACAUAUCACUGACAGACAUUCAAGACCUGUCUAGUAUUUCCUAUGAACGAGAUGGUUCCUUUAAAGAAGUCUCAUGCAAAACACCCAAAAUAAACCAUGCACCUACAAGUGUCAGCACUCCACUCAGCCCAGGGUCAAGUUCUUCAGCUGCCAGUCGGUAUAAAGACUGCCUUGAAAGUAUCACAUUUCAGAUUAAAACAGGUUCUACCUCAUGCUGGAACAGUCAGGAAUCCAUUCAAACUUCAUCUGAUAGAUUUACAACUGUUCGAGAGAAAGCAAAGAGCCUAGAUUCCUUUCUUACUUCCUCUGAAACUGCCCCUUCAAGACUGACCGAUCUCAAAAGAUUGCCUGCAUUUACUGGGGCCGGUUCCUCCAGCAUUGCUAAGUCACCUGACACAUCAUCCCAUGCCACCCAGAGAAGGAGCCUGCAGAAAGCAUUAGUAGAAGCCAUUUCACAGCAUCAUGUUGAUGAGCUACCACCACCAUCUCAGGAGCUGCUUGACGAAAUUGAGCACUUGAAGCGACAGCAGGCCUCAUCCACAGUGUUGCGGGAGAACACAGCAAGUUAUCUGGGUGUCACUGUAAAUGAUCAAAGGCACUUAGAAGAACAAGAAACUAACAGUAAAAAAGAAGAUAGCAGUAUGCUCUGGACCAAAGAAACUCAGGAUCUAGAAGAGGACACAGAGAGAGCUCACUCUACUCUUGAUGAGGACCUAGAAAGAUGGCUACAGCCACCUGAGGACAGCACGGAGCUACAGGAUCUCCCCGGAGGCUCUACAAGGGAGGCAAAUACCAAGGAUCAAGAAGUUGGUGAAAAGAAGAGAAAAGGGGAAGAAAGCUUCAAGUCAGAGAGAAGGAAAUCAGACAGCUUUUUAGGCAAUUCUGAAGAAGCUCACACAGAGGCUGCAGAAUCUGAGAAGGAAUUAUAAACUGUGGAAUUUAAGUGGAAUCUACAAGUAAUGUGAAAGAGGAACUAAAACCCUGUUUUUGGAAGCGACUAGGUUGGUCUGAACCAUCCAGAAUAAUCGUGCUGGAUCAGAGUGACUUGUCAGACUGAUGGGAGUUGGAUCGUACAUGAACUCCUGGCCUGAGUUUGAGCAUCCUGCUUGUGAGCUCCCGUCUCUCCUCAUCUGCUUCAGUCACCAUCAGGGCAGUGAUUCUGUAGCUCACACUUUGUUCAGCUGCCACAAUAGACAGAAUGGCUGGCCCUGUCUGCACCGCACUUAACCAUCUGUUUUCAGUUCAGAUUUCUGAAAAGUGAAAGGUAGCUUUUAUUGUAAAAUUUUCUCAUUGUUCCCAGAAUGGCUUUGGUUUUGGUUUUGUUGGUACAGAUUUUUGAAAACUUUAAUUCCUGUUAUAUAAUAAAAUGUUUACCUUUAAUACCAUUUAGGUUUUAGCUGUGUAAGAUAUUUCUGUGUUUUAGUUAUUGGGAGAGGAACUGCCACCCAAAGAGGCUUCAAUAUCUGUUAUAAAGUUUGACAGAUAAGCAAUGACUGCUACCACCUCUCAUAUAAGCCAGCACCAGUCAUCCAUAUUUUAGAACAGAAAUACUGCCCUCCUCUUGGCCAGGAUUGUCAUAUUCCCAUUCCAGCUAGAAUUUACUUACAUGAUGAAAGUACAGGUCGGAGUAAAAGUCCAAGAUAUUUUGAACCCUUUAAAGUGAAUAAACAUCAUUUCUGAGUA